UGGGUAUGAAGAAAAGAAUGAACAAGUUUUUACACCUGAGAAAACAUGGGGAUAGAUGAGGUUAUCACUUAUUAUAGGAACCCUCUGAAUGCACAAGUGAAUAAAAAGAAGAGCUUGAAUGACCUGAGAAUAUCAUUUAAAGAGGUAGAAAUGGAGGCUUUAAGGACGUGAAGGGGAGGUGGUGCUGCACAAGCUGUAUGAAGAAAGUGACGUCAUGAGUAAGCAGCUGCAAUUGUUAACAUUUUAAAGCAAAACAACAGCAACAACAACCCUCCUGACCUUGGAAGGUACAGCAGUGUGCCAUAUUUUCUUACUUUUGGAAUAAUGCCUGUUGUAUCCAUUUAAGAACUUUAAUAAUUCCAUAAUCUGUUGUUAUAUUGAACAAUUUCUUGAAGCAUGUUUAUGGGCAGUGAAAAAAAAGAAAUCUAACCGAGUAACAUGCUUUUAUUUUACUAUCAUGCAUAUAAGGAAAGACAAAAAUAUGUGAAUGGUACGCUUUCAAUUUGACAGAGCAAUCUCACAAGCAUUAAUGCUAUUUAGGAAAAGAGACACAUCAAUUACUAAGUUGUUACCGGGGCAAAUUAUCAAGUAAGACAAUUAAAGUCACAUUUUUUGUAGGUUAUUUUUCUAUCAAGACAACAAUUUCCACAGUCUUCAGAAUCUGACAAGACCAAGUUAUUCAAAUUAUAUUUCUAAGGAUAUAGUUUUAACAGAAGCAAGAACAGGUGAAAAGCAUUAUGAAUAUUCAUUUAAGUCUUUAUAUCAUACAGGAAA